rnacentral:rRNA from 1 species
UACGAAGGGGGCUAGCGUUGCUCGGAAUCACUGGGCGUAAAGCGCACGUAGGCGGAUCUUUAAGUCAGGGGUGAAAUCCCAAGGCUCAACCUUGGAACUGCCUUUGAUACUGGGGAUCUCAAGUCCGGAAGAGGUGAGUGGAACUGCGAGUGUAGAGGUGAAAUUCGUAGAUAUUCGCAAGAACACCAGUGGCGAAGGCGGCUCACUGGUCCGGUACUGACGCUGAGGUGCGAAAGCGUGGGGAGCAAACAGG